ensembl:lncRNA
AUUUGAAAUAACAUUAAUUUCAAGUGUACAACAUAAUUCAAUACAUGUAUAUAUUGCAAAAUCCUCACCACAAUAAGUUUCAUUAACAUUCAUCAUCACACAUGGUCACAAACAUUUCUUUCUAGUGAUGGGAACUUUUUAGAUCUAGUCUCUUGCUGCUGCUAAGUUGCUUCAAUCAUGUCCGACUCUGUGCGACCCCAUAGAUGGCAGCCCACCAGGCUCCCCUGUCCCUGGGAUUCUCCAGGCAAGAACACUGGAGUGGGUUGCCAUUUCCUUCUCCAAGGCAUGAAAGUGAAAAGUGAAAGUGAAGUUGCUCAGUUGUGUCUGACUCCCAGCGACCCCAUGGACUGCAGCCUACCGGCUCCUCCGUCCAUGGGAGUUUCCAGGCAAGAGUACUGGAGUGGGGUGCCACUGCCUUCUCCGGAUCUAGUCUCUUAGCCCCUUUCAAAUAUACAACAUAGCGUUGUCACCUUUGGGGUUCUCAGGUGGUGCUAGUGGUAAAGAACUUGCCAGCCAGUGCAGGAGACGUAAGGGUGGCAGGUUCGAUCCUUCGAACCUGAGGGCAAGAGUACUGGAGUGGGGUGCCAUCGCCUUUUCCGGGGAAAGGUCUAAACAUUAAAAACACACACACACACACACAAACAACAACAACAACAAAAAACUCCUAAUGCUUAUUACCAAUUGUUUCCAGAAAAGUUGCAUAAAUUUAUACCUCCAUCUUUAGCAGUAGUCCUCGAUCAUGGUGUGAUUUUCUCUCCCGGGGGACAUUUUUCACUGUUUGGAGAUAUUUUUGGUUAUCUGAACUCAGGGAAGGAGGAUAACACUGGCAUUUCUUAUGAAUAGAAGCCAAGCCAACUGUCUUGCUGUUCACACUGUCUGCACUGUUUACUGAAUCCAGGUUAGGCAAGACUCGAGCUAAGAGGCUGGAAGAAGACGGGAGGAGUCACAGGAACUGCUGCUGCUGCUGCUGCUGCUGCUAAGUCGCUUCAGUCGUGUCCGACUCUGUGCGACCCCAUAGACGGCAGCCCACCAGGCUCCGCCGUCCCUGCAGAUAUGUUUAUUCCUUCCUGGCUGGCAUGGCAGCCAUAACAGAGCCUCUUUCCUGGCUGACGCAGCAGCUGUAGUGUCCGCCACAACGGAGCUCACGCAGGCGUGACGCACAGCGUACCUCGCGAUGUGCGUGCGCAGUGCUGUACGUGAGCGCAGCUGUUCCAUAGCCACGCGAAGUCGUUGUUUACAGAACAUGGGGUAAGAGGGCAUGAGAGCGUGGGGCCAGAGAGCCGAACUGGCUCCAUCUUGUUAAUUUCCCCACAGUGUCUAUCUCAAUGUACCCAGGUUCCUGCCAGCUUAUUACUGCUCUGUUCCUAAGGUGUCCAGGUUGGUGGCUGAAUCUCACACAUUUAAAUGCCAUCUACAUUUCGGUAGCAAAAAGGAAGAAAGGGAUGACAAAAACGGAACAAAGAGUGUAUGCCAGUUUUAUUUUAAGAAACAUUCCUAUUAUAUAACAAGUUGUAUUCCUAUUACAUAGUAAAAGCUAUAUUCUUUUAUUUCCCAUGGGUAGAAACUAGUUGCAAGAGAAUGACAUUCUGAGACAACACAUGCAAAUCUCAAGACUUCUAUUACGUGAAAAAAAGGAUAACAGAAAUGCGAAGAGAACAGCAGUCUGUGCAUAGCAUUUGAUCUCCUUUUAGAGAUAAGGACAUGGAAACUCAGGGACACGUAUAAAUGCCAGACCUGAGAUUUGACCAUAGCUCUCUCUGAUAACAAAAUUCAUGUUAUUUCUAUUAUAUCACAUCACAUUUCAUUUAAAGUUUUAGUGAGAUACCAAGACAUGAAUCAAUUAUAAAGCAAGGCAGAUAUUUUUUAAAGUGUUAGAAUAUGUGUCAGAGAGCAGUAG